GUCGAACGAAGUAGCAAUACUUAGUGGCAGACGGGUGAGUAACAUGUGGGUAUCUACCCUUUGGCCUGGAAUAACACGGGGAAACCUGUGCUAAUACCGGAUAAGUCCUAACGGAGAAAGUUUUAAUGCCAAAAGAUGAGCCCGCAUUUGAUUAGCUAGUUGGUAAGGUAAAAGCUUACCAAGGCGACAAUCAAUAGCUGAUUUGAGAGGAUGAUCAGCCACACUGGGACUGAGACACGGUCCAGACUCC
rnacentral:rRNA from 1 species